GAACUAAGCUCCACUGAGUUCAAUGGGAGUUCCUCCAAGGUGAAUAUAAGAUUGGAGUUGCAGAGGCUCAGAUCCUGUUGUAGGAAAUGUGGCAUGAAUCGGGGGUGGGGGGAAGGCUGGUCACCAAUAUGGAUCUUGACAUCUUGUGAAAACACCGCCCGCUGCAGCGGAACGGUAGAAUCCAGUUUCACAGAAAAGGAGGUAAGCAUUCAAAACAAGAUAAGCAGAAGUGUCAGGGGACUUUUUGACCCUAUCAUACCCCUAGAUUAAGAUCCCAAAUCUAAAUUGGCUCAUUUUUGUUUCGGCUCUGCUGCGGAGGCCUUUUAUCCAACCACAUAAUUAAGAAUUUAUCACAACCACUUGUGUCAAAUCAAGCAAACUCCUGUGUGUAGUUUUUGGCUUCCAUAUCAAAGGGCAUACAGCACUCGAGGGAUUGUUUUUUCUAGCCAGAUGGGUCGUGUGUUUUUUUUCUUUCUUUCUCCGGUGACUUUUUCCUCUGAUAACCUAAGGCUGACAUGCUGAAAUGCCCUGUGCUGGGGCUGAGAUACAGAGACUACAGGGUGGCGUGUGAUAACUUGCCAACUCUUUUCCUUUGAGCUGCGCGGCCUUGUUUAGGACAUGUAAAACCACUUCUGUGUCAUUUUGAAACUAUGUAAAUUCCUUUCCUUUGGAACAACAACCCCAACACUUAAAAAGAGAAAAAAGAAGAAAAGAUUGCUGGAUAAAUUCAUAGCUGAAGGAGAACAAUAAGAACAAAGUAAUUUGUCUCCCACCAUCUACAUCAGCGAUAGAGAACAUGUGGCCCUUCAGAUAUUGGUGGACUUCCCUGAAGAAAGACUUCUGGAGAGAAAACAGCAGUUUCAGAAGGGGGAGUCUAGCGUGGGCGACGGCUGAGCAACAGCGACAUCUUUCAAACAGUAACGGCUAUUGUCAAACCAAGUAUUAUUAAAUAACCAGCCUGAAAGUAAAUAUUCCUUCAGGGAGGAAGAGCAGGAC